rnacentral:rRNA from 1 species
UACGGAGGGUGCAAGCGUUAUCCGGAUUCACUGGGUUUAAAGGGUGCGUAGGUGGGUUGGUAAGUCAGUGGUGAAAUCUCCGUGCUUAACAUGGAAACUGCCAUUGAUACUACUGAUCUUGAAUUUUCUGGAGGUAAGCGGAAUAUGUCAUGUAGCGGUGAAAUGCUUAGAUAUGACAUAGAACACCAAUUGCGAAGGCAGCUUGCUACAGGGAUAUUGACACUGAGGCACGAAAGCGUGGGGAUCAAACAGG